GAGUCUCAACUUGUCUUGGAGAUCACUGGUUGGAUAAAGAAGCCACAACAGGUCUUUAAUUGCCAGUCUCACUGCUUCUAGUAAUUUUCUGCAGAAUGAGAAGCCACUAGCAGAGUCUGUGGAAAGAAUAUCCAUCAAUCUUAUUCAACUUGAAAAAAUCCAGCAGCUCUGUGUCUUUUUUAUGACAAGAGGAACAUAUUCUCUCUUUAGUUAUAUUCAUGCAGCUAUAAUACACAAGAAUGAAAAUACACAGGUCUUUGUGUUUGUAAGAACUACACUUCUAAGAAUGCUGAUUCAGGAGAGGUUCCCUCUGAACAGAAGCUGUCAUGGCCUCGUUUCUGAGACAAGGUGGCAAAGGGACCCAUGGAUCCAUGCCCUGGGAAGAGAAGGUGGGAAAAGGCAGGGAGAUGCACCUGGACAAGGAAAACAGCUGCAAGGAACUAAAGAAAAAUAAAACUUAGUUUACUAAAUAUAGUAGUGGGAUGUGAGAUAAUCCAAUAUAAUACAAUAUGAUUGGAAUUGAAUCUAAUACAUCAAAUAUAAUAUGAAAGAGGGAGAGCUUCUGAAACCAAACUCCUUACUCGAAUGCUGUAGUAGAAGUGGCCAAGGAACAAAAAGGGAACUCCUGUGAGUCCCAGUCCAUUUUAUCUUUCCCUCUGUCGUAGUCAGCCAUGACAGGCAACCUGUCUCUACAGCUCUUCAACCAGUCUGCACAAUUUGUUAGCAUUCAAAAGUUGCUAAAAAUCAGCUUUGAUUUGAUGUAUCUGAAAACAUUUUACAGAAGAAGCCACCUGCAGAGGAGAGUGGAGCACAUGUGCAGAGGGGUUGGAACCUGCUGAUCCAUGGAGUCCCUUCCAAUCCAAGCCAUACUAUGAUUCUAUAGUUCUGUGAUUCUAUGAUUCUAUGUAGAUUUCUUAGAGGUCAGUAGGCCAGUGCUCAGAUCAGGGCUCAACUCUACGUCUCUGUUGCCCAUGAACUGAAGCAUCAAGUUUGUGCAGAAUAAUCCCUAUACUAUGAAGUAUACAUGUGACCAAGGAUAACCUUGCUUGGUGCAGAAGGAAUGUUAUGCUGUACCAAAUUUAAUCUUUAUGACCAAUAAAGAUGGUGG
ensembl:lncRNA